AAGUCGUAACAAGGCUUCCGUAGGUGAACCUGCGGAAGGAUCAUUAAUGUAACCGGACCGGUCCUUUGCCGUAAAACGCACCGGAUUGGAAAGGGAGAUAUCAUACACCCUGUGUUUAUUUACCUUUGUUGCUUUGGCGGGCCGUCCUUUAGGCGUCGGCCCCGGCUGAUCGCGCCCGCCAGAGGACCCAAACUCUUUUAUCAGUGAUGUCUGAGUACUAUAUAAUAGUUAAAACUUUCAACAACGGAUCUCUUGGUUCUGGCAUCGAUGAAGAACGCAGCGAAAUGCGAUAAGUAAUGUGAAUUGCAGAAUUCAGUGAAUCAUCGAAUCUUUGAACGCACAUUGCGCCCGCUGGUAUUCCGGCGGGCAUGCCUGUUCGAGCGUCAUUAUGACCAAUCAAGCUCUGCUUGGCCUUGGGGCCCGCUGUACCGGCGGCCCUUAAAAUUAGUGGCGGUGCCGUCUGGGUCUAAGCGUAGUAAUACUUCUCGCUAUAGGGUCCAGUCGUUUACCCGCCAGAACCCCCAACUUUCUUAGGUUGACCUCGGAUCAGGUAGGGAUACCCGCUGAACUUAA
rnacentral:rRNA from 1 species